UAGUCACAAGUGCAAUGCUGGUGCACGACCUAGGGCUGUUGAGGGCGACGUCUUUCAUCAACACUCUGGUCACAGUCAGACAAGCAGGUAACCUUACCAUCCAACCAUAGACACAAAAGCAGCCCAUGAACAUAGAUAAAAUGAGCCUGAAGAUAUUUUAUGAUCCUGAGGCAAUGCAGCAUAUGCGGCACCAAGCUGCUUAACUGCUCCUUUUGUUUCCCCAGUCUGGAUGGUGCAUCCCAAAUGCUGUCUGGGAAAGAACUCUUGCCUGUCCUUGUUCUGAGCAAUGCCAGAUAUUGUCUAGAGGCAUGCCAAAACUGUGCUAGGAUUUGUGCUAACAGUUUAAGAGCAUGGAUACUCAUGGGAGCUGGAGUCUGGCCCUACUACAGCAUUGCCGAGAUACUGCUUUUCAUCUGGGAGAUGAGGACUAAAGCCCUGAGGAUCUACUUCAUCAGACUCCCAUCAGCCGUAACUGAAGAUACCUGUACUUUGAGUGAGUUGAGAAUAAAGAUGCACAUUAGCCUAAACUGCUUUCAGUGCUGGGCUUACCCUGUCUCUCUAUAUAAUUUGUGACCCCUCAGUGAUAACUUUCUGCUUUUUUUUUUUUUUUUUUUUUUGGUCCUCUAUAUGCUUGUCUUCAGUGUACAAUAACUACAUGAAUUUCAGACAUAGCCUAGCUUUCUAUCAACCUAAAUUGUCCUACAUGAGAUUCUGGGUGUUUCUAGUCCCAUGUACAGUUUCAGAUGUGGAUGUAUGCAAGUGUGUAGGAUGGCACUGAUUUGUGGCUGCUGAUUCUCCUGUACAUAAUAAACAACUGAGAUAGUAUUGACAUAGGAAAGAGAGUUUAUGUCUGCAAAUGAGUUUCUAUGAUGCUCCUUGUGAUCUCUCAUGGAGGAAGAUAUGAGACCAUUAACAUUAUAAAUCUUGACCUCAUCCAGAAUGCAGGCUAGAGAUCCAGGCUACUUCCAUAUCUGCUCCAUAAGUAAGUAUGUACAGACAUGGGAAUAAAACAACAUUAGAUAUAAUAGGUUUUUUUUUUUUUUUUUUUUUUUUAAUUUUGGAGAGAGGGGGUUAAUCUAGGCUAGAGGGUGAUGUCCAGAAACAGCUAGGGAAUGAGCACAAGUACUAGGCAUCAGAGCAGUAGCUGUUAAUUUGCUUUCUGGUUUUCCUCCAGCUACCUCUCCUAGACUAUCUAAACAUGGUUGAGGUGACAAUAUACUAUAGAGACUUUCCAAAGUUUCCAAAGUUCAGUAUCAGCAAAGCUGCAGUAAAUCUGUUUUCCCAUACAGUUCUCCACCUGUAUCCUAAAAGCCUGUCACAAUCAAACACUCUUGCAGGCCAUGCAAAACAAUAACCGUGGCACUUCCAUCUCAGAUACUUUGAAAGGAGAGAAGAGGAAGAAUGAUAAAUCUCUCUUAAGAAGUCACAGACCAGCACUCUAGCUCCAUAUAGCUUUAUAAUCCCAGCAGAGCUAUGAGUAACGUGCUAUAGUGCAUUGUGACUGUUGGGCCUUACUACCAGACUUCAUCAACCACAGGAAUCCCCCUAUCAGCCACAGAUGCCUGCUGCUGCUUCCUUAGUCCCUGAUGAGGGACAGCACAGAGAAAACACUGGGAUAGCUCUUGGACUACUGUGGGAAAUAACCUUUCAGCUGUUAAUGGUACAGAAGUUGCUUUGCCACUGAUGAAACCAAUGUCCUUAAACAAGUCACAUUUGCUGUUCAUGACACCUGUGUUAUCCACAGACGUCCUUUCUGGGGAGUAAGACCCUGGGGAGGCUGUAGAAGAAGAGCUGCUGGGAUAAAAUUGUGUUCUUCUCUGCUGAUUUUAAUAUUCCAGAGCCUGUUUGUGCUGGCUAGAUGCCUUUCCAUGUGUUUUGCACUUGAAGGAGAGAGAGGCCUCCAAAAAACCCCUCAAAGCCCACAAGUUGUCAUAAUCUUUUUAAUACUCCUGAACUGUAAUGUUUGCUUCUUUGCCUGUCUGCUUGCUGCCAUAAAAACAACAGCAACAACAACAAAACAACAGCAACAACAAAAUAGGCAUUUGUUAUCAUGACAUUAUUUCCUGUUGAGCUAGAAGCUUGAAGAUAGCCUGACAUGAGGUUAAAUAGCAAUAAAUAAGGUUAUGGAAGGUUAUGCGGUAUUUCAGAGUUGAGGAAAGGCAGUGAUGUUCACAGAUGUUAUUUAUUUUAUAGCAUUUUAUCUAUAUAGUGCGGAGAAUCAAAUAAAGUAGAGCAAAAAGAACUUACUAGUUAAAUAGAAAAUUAUAUCUACCAAACCAUCUGUUUCUAUACUGCUAUAAAUGAGUUGCAGUGAGUCUGGAGGAAUCUGUUCUUUAGUGAGGCAAUGAAGCAAUUCAGGCUUUUACUUUAGAAGAUGAAGAAUUGGGGACAUAUUGCUUCAGUCUUCCUCAAGGUGCUACCAGCCUGCCUUCACCUCAAGGUAAAUUUUCAUUAUUCCCAUUUCAUUUUUGGAGACUUUAUGGAUGAAAUGCUGCAUUGCCCCUCUCUGAAUCACACAUAAUUGCAGCUGAUCAGCAUAAAUAUGCAUGAGUUCAUUCUAUUUCAGUACGGAAUUUUUAGGUUGAAGCCUGCACAUUACGGUUUUUGAUGGAACAAGAAAAAGAGAGAAAGGAUGGAAACAAAAUGGAGGGAGAAGGCUUAAAACUUCCCUUAAAUACUAUCAUAGGAUGUAGAUUUAUUUGAAGGUUCUAUAGACAACAAAGAGAACAUUUAUUUCCACAGUACUUUUUAGACUUUAAAUAUUGCCCUAAGGCAGGAAAGGAAAUUAUUUUUCCUUUUGAUAGUAUUUGAGGUAAAUUUUUAUAUCUUUUCUAAGUGUCUUUAUUUCUUAUUUUACCUUUGUAAGGAUGAUAUUUCCACCUCUCAGGCUCUUCAGGCUUUUUAUUUGUCCACUGUGUGAGAAUGCCCCAGCUUGGAGAGCAUCCAUCGACACUGGAACAAUGGCAUUUUAAAGGAAGCUUUUUUCCCAGUGAAAAGAAUGUAGACACAAGCAGUAGAUUUUGCAGUUUAUCAUAUAAAUCAGAUGAAAGCCUUUCUUCCAGGAACAUGAAAGGCAGAAGAGAGGCUAAAAUAUGUAUAUGUAUGUGUGUGUACUUGUAUGUGAACAUAAACGUUACAUAUGUACAAAUAUAAAUACACACAAUACAUAUAUUGAAGGUCUAUUCCUCCUUUCAUUGGAGUGAGGGAAAUUUUCUCAUGGAUUUCAUUUUGUACAAAAGAGGCACUGUUACAGCAACUUAAAAAAAUACUGAAACCUUGACUGAAGUUCUUAAACAUCUGAUAAGCCUAUUGAAUUCAUGGGGCUUCUUCACAUGCUUAGAGUUUGGCGUGUGUGUAAAUACUUUGCUGCAACAGGGUCACAAGACCUCAGCUCAGCUCUUGUUAAACUCAGUGGAAAGAUUCUUUUUGAUUUUAAGAGCAGUUGGAUGGAUUUGCAGUCCGUCUUCUCUAUGCUAAUGCAGAGCGAGCCAGUCUUAAUGCAGGAACAUGUGGUAUACGUUAAAAGUCGUAGAGGUUGUGAGCAGUAGCAACUUUCCACUGACAACAUUUAUCUGGAUUGAUUAAAAAGAUAUGACUUAAAAUGAGUUCCUCGAUGGGUGGUUCCAGACAGUGCAGUGCAGAGUUGGGCCUGGCGGGAGGGUGCCAGGGAGCCUGGGAGGAUGGCUGAAGGUCAUCAUUUGGAUUUAACGGGGAGGCAGCUGUGCUGUCACACCCCGUGUACACCUGGGAGCGUGGGGGGAGCUCCUGCUGUGUGGAGCUGGCGGCAGCUGGGAAGGAAGAGCAGCAUUCAUCCAUCUUGGAGACUGGGACUUGGCACUCAUUGAGGCCAGAUUUCUGGGGAAGAAAUAACAUGCUGAGAGUUGCUGCAGCAAAUGUAAAACAAUCCUGUUUUGACACGUUGACAUGAAGCUGGCUGAAAAAGUUUUGUUUACACUUGUCUUAAGUUACCUUGAACAAAUUAUUCUGCUCUAAAUUUCUACUGUUCCAGAGCUGAUGGGCGUCAGCAGAAGAAAUGUAACAAAGAGGUGCAUCCCUGAGAGAUAGGAUGCAUGCACCUUUCGUACUGAGAGAGCUGGGUGGGCUGCAGAGAAGUGAGGCUAUACCAUUCCACCUUACAAUUCCAGCUCCUGGAAUGUUACUUCCAGGCAUUUCCUUGGCAAGAAAAACUGGAGGCAAAUGGGCUGGCUCAGUAAAAAAUGAUAAAAAAUGAAGGUAACUGAUAACUUUGUUGGGAGAUAUAAUUACUUAUGGCAUUUUCAGGAAAUGCAUUGCAAGGAGUCCCAGAUGCGUAAUCUAAGGAGAUAAAAGGAGAUAAUCAAGCACUGGAACCGCCUGGAUAUUUUCAUCAAUAUGGGGGAACAAAGCGAGGAAAAAUCAUUUUGUUUUGACCCAUUCUAUUGGCAAUGACAGAAGUAAGAAACAGGGAUAUUUAGUCUGGCUGAUGUGGAGAAUAUCUGUUCCAACUGAUUUAAUGCCAUAAGUUAUUAAGUAGGAAUGAAUGGCAAACCCCUCACUGUAUUGCGUUCAAAGUGAGACUUAGAAACAGUGAAAAAUAGAAUGCAGAGGUAGACAAAGAACAAGAAAUGAACCAAAGUAAUCUAAAGAUGGUUGAUAAACAUAUUUCAUUAUGGAAUCAUCUAAGUUUCAGUGAGUUAAUUGAGGUAAAUUUUAGAUAUCUUUCUCUUUACACAGGUUGAAAUUCAGCCUUAGGUGUUUCUUAAUUCUCAGACGUGUAUGGCAUUCAUUCAGGAUACUAAUUUCGCUCAUCCUAUCCAUACAGGACUGCAGUUCUCUUUAGGAAAAAAAAAAAAAAAAAAAGUCUUCUCUUUCUCUGAUCAAUAAGCACUCUUUUCUACUGACUUUUCAUUUAUGAGAAUGUUCUUGGUCUUCUACCCUGCCCUUUCCAUAAUUUCAUCACUCAAGUACUUCAGCUAUUUCUCAGUGUUUUAUGACAGCCUAGCUCAAAAAAUAUAAGUUAGUUUCCUCGACAAUCUUCCUAAACAUUUUGUUUCAAAAGAUACAAUAACAUAUAAUUUGAUUCUUUUUUAGUUUAAGACUGAAAAUGUUCCCUCCAUGCAAGUUUGGGAACAUAGGAAGGUCAAAAGACAAAUGAAUAUUGCUCUCCCUUUCCUCCCAGCAAUCUUGUAAAACAGAAAACCUAACCAAAAUGAGCCCAAAUCAGAAUCACGGAAGACCUGGCACCAAGGGCAUCUGCUCCUUGCCUACAUGCUCACCCCUACCCAACCUCUUCUAUCUGUCAUGAACUGCCAGUACCAAGAAUCAGCAUCCAACUUUUGCCCCCAUUUGGUGCUCCUUCCAGCCUGCUCCUAUUUAUAGCUCAAGAGUCCCUAUUGUUCCAUUUCCUAAUUAUUUCAAGUUUCAGUUAGGUUAACUGAAACAAUAAAAGGUAUCUGGAAGACUAACAAACUCAGAUGGCAAUGUUUGCUUAAUUACUGUGGUAAAAUUAUGGUGUUUAUUUUGUUACUCAACUAGAAAUGAUAGGCUGUUUAAAGUUUAGAAAUUUGGUUGAUAAGUGGGAAGAUAAAAGUAAUAGUAUUGCUUGCUACAGCGGGUAAUCUAAAACUGUGUGGACUGAAGAACAGCUAUGCUACAUAAUUGUGCUGGGUUGGAGGAGUCCAGCACUUUUAUUACCCAGAUGUGAUAAAGCAAUGAGGUCCAGUUUCACUUUGAGAGAGGCAGACUUGGUUUCUCCCAUCCUUUUUCUCCUGGGUGGAUAUGUUACACAUUUACAUAAACGUCUUAUACCAAAACUGCUGCAGGUAAAUAAAUCUCCAUAAGGCACUGUGAAGAUGGCAGCAGAGUUUGUCCACUUCAUGCAAUAGAAGCAAACAAGGGAACACUGGACUUAUCCAAAAUGAGGCAUAGAGACCAGUGCAAAAGGUGGGGUUGGAAACCUUUAGCCUUGGAUCCACAGCCUGUGCACGUUCGGCAAGGGAAGUUUUCUUGUUGGAUGCUGUAUGUAUGCUUAACCUUGUCAAGUGCUUGCUAUUCCUAUCAUACUUUUAGUUACUAGUAUUUAAACAAUUGGUAUUUGAGUUUUGUGAACAUGUGCCCUUUUGACAAUGGCAAAAUGAUGUCUAGCUUCACUGUAUAUAAAUAAGCUUCAUUCUUCUAGUGCAAAGUGCUAGUAAACUGGGUGUGGGGCUGUCUAGCUUUUUGAUAAUGACACCGCUGGCAAAUCUGACUACCCUGAGAAGAAUAACAAGCCCAAUCUCAAAGUUUCUCCUGAUGUUUCUGAAAUCCCCAGGUGGGUUUAUUUAUGUUUAUAAUGUCUAGCUCUCUCAAGGGAAUGCUGAUUAGUGUGCUGCUACUGAGCUAGGGUCAGCAGGUUUAGAGCUAGGCUAUUCAGCAAGGUUCAAGCUCUUGCAGCAUUGCUCUACAAGGCAGAUGGAGGCUCAAUGCUGUGAGCAGAGUUAUCUCUUACUCCCUCCACCUUGCUCUGUAUCCUCACACUUUGGCAAAAUUUCCUGGGGAUAAAUACAGACGAGGAAAAAAAAAAAAGUAUAUUCUGAUCAGUGUUAUUAGGAGUGACAAAAGUGAGAUAAGAAAGUUAUUUAUGCUGAUUGAUGUAGAGCCAACAUACUCUUGGCAAAAAUCCUUCAAGUCUGCCCCUAGGACAGCAGGGAAGCUAUAUGCUGGCUAGUGAACUAAUGAAAGCAAUCAAACCCACCUGUACACGGGAGGAGAUACAACAGAGGGCUUGAGAAGCCACACUAUGAUCUGCUAAGGCACUUCAUUAUGCAUUUGUGUUAAUGGGGCCUUUUCAUUUCCCUGCAGUGCAGCUGACUUCUUUGAGGAAAGGUGAACAGUUAUGCUACACAGGCACUGAACAAGAAAGGAGCUCCAGCUCCUGGAUUAGGAGAAAGGGGAGCGGGGUGGUGGGGAGAUCAGAAAACAGGUAGGGGAAAGGUCCAUUUUCAGAUAAGCAUGUUGAAAGGUUGAAAACAGGGAGAAGUCUGCUUUUCUGCUCGGUUUACUUAUUGAUAGGGACUCAGUUCUUGGCUGGUUCUGCUUCUUGGAUGCAUCUGUUUAGAAUUUGUAGAGCUUUGUACUCUGCUUUUGAAAAUUAUAACAUCAAGUGGAGAAAAUGGUAAACUAUUACAAUGCUUGCAGGAGACAACAUCUGUUACUAGUAUCUUAUAUAAUCUUUUAUCCAAUUCUGUCAUCAGGAGUCCUCAGGAUUGCUUCAGUGUUGUCAACAUGCAUGCACACUCAUGCACAAGAAAAUGCCUAUCUAGUUAUCUAUCUAUCAUUACAGAACAGUUCUCUUCAUGUUACUGACAUUUGGGAGGAAUCAUGACAUGAUUUCUCAUUCUUCUAAUAAUAAAUCUCACUUUACAAGAAGAAAUGUAUGUCAAGGACCUUUCUGGUUCAACACCAUUGAAAUUCCUUAUCUCCUCUGGAACUAAACUUGUUGAGAGAUGUGAAAAAUAACAGGAAGGGAUUCUAGAGAUACACUGUUCAGAAGAGGCAGGCAAAGAAGAGUGUACUCCCUCUGAUAAGUGAGAAGGGAGAACAGGCUACAGAAGGCAUGGCAAAGGCUGAGGUACACAACAAAUUCUUUGCCUUGUCUUCACUGAUUUCCCACGUCUCUCACAUCCUUGAACAUCUAGAUGUAGGCUGGGAGAACAAAAUCCCACCCACUGUAAAAGCAGAGCAAGUCUGUGACUGCCUAAUGAGGCUGAAUGUGUACAAAUCCAUUGGACCAGAUGAUAUGAACCCCAGGAUCCUGAAGGAACUGGCUGAUGUGGUUGCUGAGCCACUCUCCAUCAUAUCUGAAAAAUCACAGCUGUUAGGUGAAGUUCCCAGUGAGUGGAAAAAGGGAAACAUUUGCUUCCCAUUCUCAAGAAAGGGAGAAAGCAAGAUCAGGAAAGUGCAAAUUGGAGAGUCUCACUUUUGUGCCUGGGAGAAUCACGGAGCAGAUCCUCCUGGAAGCUGUUUAAGGCACAUGUGAGAUGAGGAGGUGAUCCAAGACAGCCAGAAUGGCUUCAUCAAGAACAGAUCAUGCCUGACCAAUGAUGGCAUUGGUGGACAAAGGAAGAGCAACUGAUGUAAUCUACCUGGAAUUCUGCAAGGCCUUUGACAUGAUCCCAUGCCACAUCCUCAUCUCUAAAUUGGGUAGAUAUGCAUUUGAAGGGGACACUGUUUGGUGGGUAAAGAAUUGGUUGAAUGGUGGCAGCCAGAGUGUUGUGGUAAGUGACUCUAUGUCCAGGUGGAGGUUGGUCAUAAGAGGUGUCCUGCAGGGUUCCGUAGUGAUAGGACAAGGCGGAAUGUCUUUAAACUAAAAGAGAGGAAAUUUAGAUUCGAUAUUAGGAAUAAACUCUUUACUCAGAGGUGGUAAGGUGCUGGCACAGCUGCCCAGAGAAGCUGUGGAUGCCCCAUGUCUGGAGGUGCACAAGGCCAGAUUGGAUGGGGCCCUGGGCAGCCUGAGCUGGUGGGAGGCAGCCCUGCCCACGGCAGAGAGGUUGGAUCUAUGUGAUUUUUAAGGUCUCUUCCAACUCAGGCUGUUCUAUGAUUCUAUGAUUCCA